AACGAACGCUUGCGGCGCGCCUAAUACAUGCAAGUCGAACGAACCAGCAAUGGUGAGUGGCGCACGGGUGAGUAACGCGUGGGUAAUCUGCCUAUCAGUGGGGAAUAACUAACCGAAAGGUUAGCUAAUACCGCAUGAGGCCACAGUAUCUGCGGAUACAGGGGUUAAAGAUUUAUCGCUGAUAGAUGAGCCUGCGUGGGAUUAGCUAGUUGGUGAGGUAACGGCUCACCAAGGCAACGAUCUCUAACUGGUCUGAGAGGAUGACCAGUCACACUGGAACUGAGACACGGUCUAGACUCCUACGGGAGGCAGCAGUAGGGGAUAUUGCGCAAUGGGGGAAACCCUGACGCAGCGACGCCGCGUGAGUGAUGAAGGCCUUAGGGUCGUAAAGCUCUGUUGUACGGGAAGAAAAAAAUGACGGUACCGUAUAAGAAAGGAUCGGCUAACUUCGUGCCAGCCGCCGCGGUAA
rnacentral:rRNA from 1 species